GACGAACGCUGGCGGCGUGCCUUAUACAUGCAAGUCGAGCGGACUUUCCGGUUUGGUUGCUCUCCAGUAGGGUAGCGGCGGACGGGUGAUUAACACGUAGGCAACCUUCCCGGAUGACCCGGCUAACAUUCUGAAACUAAUGCUAAUACCGUAUGGACGGACCUCUCGCAUGAGGGGAUCGGGAAAGGCGUAGCAAUCUUCCGCCUAUGGAUGGCCCUGCGGCGCAUUAGCUGGUUGGUGGGGUAACGGCCUACCAAGGCGACGAUGCGUAGCCGACCUGAGAGGGUGAUCGGCCACACUGGGACUGAGACACGGCCCAGACUCCUACGGGAGGCAGCAGUAGGGAAUCUUCCGCAAUGGACGCAAGUCUGACGGAGCAACGCCGCGUGAGUGAGGAAGGCCUUCGGGUCGUAAAGCUCUGUUGCCAGGGAAGAACGGGUAGGGGAGUAAAUGCCCUUGCAAUGACGGUACCUGCGAAGAAAGCACCGGCUAACUACGUG
rnacentral:rRNA from 1 species